UGUAAACAUCCCCGACUGGAAGCUGUGAGACAUGGCUAAGCUUUCAGUCAGAUGUUUGCU
rnacentral:pre_miRNA from 9 species